UGCGUUGCUGACGAUCAGACCAUCACUCCGACAGUCGCUGGCUCGUCGUCGCUGUGCUGGUCGUCGUGCGCUCCGUUGUCGCCGUCGUCCGUCUUCAAUCUGUUUCCCGAGAACGGUUCUUGUCCACGGAGGUUCUAUUGAUAACAGCGAUAUAUAUAUUCAUCAUAAGUACGAGAACGCGCCCGCGCGCGCACGAAAACCGUCAACGCGAUGGCCGCGUGAUUUUUUUUCGCACGACCACCCCUACGUUUCCACCCAGCGAUCCGAUGCUGAUGCUGUUACUGCUGGUCGUGGCUGCGGCCGUGAUCGUCCGCGGUGGUUCGGCCACGUACUGCGACGACAACCUGUUCCAUGCGGCUGGCAAGUUGCACCUCUCGUCGUCAUCCCCCGGCGUUCAAUUCACCAAGGAGCUGAGCGCCUCUGAGUAUGGGCCUCUGAACUCGUUCAAGAAGCUCCACUGCUGCGGCGAAAACUACCUCAGUCUCGAAUGGUUCAAAGAUAAUCGUUCCUAUCCGUGGCCAAGUGAUGUUUCCAGUUUCAUAUUGAAUCCCGAGAGCGCUAAUCAAACGAUAUACACGCGAAGCUUAACAUCGUCUGACCAUGGCGUGUACACAUGUCAACUGGCUAACCAUACAAACAUUGUAAAUCAUUCAAUACAACUCGUCACUAUUGAUGUUACAUCUUAUUGGGGAGAACCAUUACCCACUUAUAAAAUACCCAACAAACACUACGCACAACCAGAAGAUUCAGUUAGACUGUACUGCGAAGGUUUUGUUGGCAAAGUUGGUCUUCCGGAUGCUAUCAACACGAUUAAGUGGACGAAGAUCGGUGGAAAUCAAACCAUCGAAUCAAAUGAAAAAUAUAAAAUAGUAGAAGUUUCGAGGGAAAACGACCAAGUUUUGGGAGCAUUCUUGUUCAUAAACAAAAUUCAAGAGACUGAUUACGGACAAUACAUGUGCUCCAUCAGCAAUACUGAUGACCAGAUUGUGCAACAGUUUACUAACAUUACAAAACCCGUUUUUAACAAUGAGCAAUUGGAUGACAAAAAAGUGCACAGAGACCUUAAGUUUAUCAUUCUUGUCAUGUUGGCGUUAAUAUUGAUCGUUUGGAAACGGCGGUGGUUGUGCUUAACAUUUGAGAGGCUGAAGACAAAAUUAGAUAAUGAUAAAUACACAUUAUCGGAAAAAACUGUGCAUAAUAUAAUCGUAUUUUACGACGAGGACAACAAAGACAAUGCACAAUACUUGGUAAAAAAAAUGGAACACCGUGAUAAUUUUAUAACAAAAAAAUAUUAUAUCGACUUUAGCGAAGAUUUCAUCAAAAGGCACACGGACUUAGUUAAAGGUUUUGACUUAGCCAUAUAUUUAUUGUCUUCAAAUGAUACGAUUACAUCAUCUCUAAUGACAAAAUCAUCUCAAAAAUCAUUCAUUCAAGACAGCGUACCACCUAAGAAAUACAUAAUCGACUGUGAUAAUAUGCCUGUGACGCCGACAAAAUCGUGGUGCGACCGUGUCUUGGCGGAUUUGAGCACUGAACACACGAAACGAAAUCAAAACACGACGAACAAAUUAUUCAGAGUCGUAUGAUUUAAAAUUUGGUAACGGUAGUUAUUAAAUAUUGUCGAAACAUAGUAUUCCUAUAUACACCAAACCCUGUAACCAUGGGAUGAUUCCUUAAACAAUACGUAAAAAAACCCCUUUAGAAUCACGAACAGAUAAAAAGGAUAAACCAAUAAUCCUUCAGAGACAGCCGAAAUAUAUUAUAAAAUAAAUGUUUACAAUCCAUUUUUUAACCAUGUGCUAAGCAAACUAGGAGCCAGAUUUUCUAAUCAUCUCAAACAUUUUGGAAUCCUCCAAUCUCACUGCCAAAAUUUAUAAAAAAGGAGAAUGAUGUUAAAAACAAAUUGACAGAAAUCCAUAAGAUAUAUCUGCUUAAUGAAAAACUUGAAAAUCUGUUGAGUGAGUAUCAAUUAUGGACCAAGAAGAGGGAAGAAAUAAGUGAUGACUUAAAUGAAUUAAAUGCAAUGGAAACUGUGGAAAAGUGUGUUAAACUGUUUUUUCUCUCAUUUAUACUUUUCUUAAAAUGUUUUCCACUCUUCCUAUGUCUACUGCGGAACGUCUCUUUUCUACAUUAAAGCACUUAAAGGCAUAUUUACGAAACACAAAUUGUGAACAAACUAAUACAGCUAAG
rnacentral:misc_RNA from 1 species